rnacentral:rRNA from 1 species
GAUGAACGCUGGCGGCGUGCCUAAUACAUGCAAGUCGAGCGAACGGACGAGAAUCUUGCUUCUCUGAUGUUAGCGGCGGACGUGUGAGUAACACGUGGAUAACCUACCUAUAAGACUGGGAUAACUUCGGGAAACCGGAGCUAAUACCGGAUAAUAUUUUGAACCGCAUGGUUCAUAAGUGAAAGACGGUCUUGCUGUCACUUAUAGCUGGAUCCGCGCUGCAUUAGCUAGUUGGUAAGGUAACGGCUUACCAAGGCAACGAUGCAUAGCCGACCUGAGAGUGUGAUCGGCCACACUGGAACUGAGACACGGUCCAGACUCCUACGGGAGGCAGCAGUAGGGAAUCUUCCGCAAUGGGCGAAAGCCUGACGGAGCAACGCCGCGUGAGUGAUGAAGGUCUUCGGAUCGUAAAACUCUGUUAUUAGGGAAGAACAUAUGUGUAAGUAACUGUGCACAUCUUGACGGUACCUAAUCAGAAAGCCACGGCUAGCUACGUG